rfam:Schistosoma mattheei strain Denwood, Zambia genome assembly, scaffold: SMTD_scaffold0010814
AUCCAACUGACGAGUCUAUAAUAAGAUGAAACGCGAGUCCUAGAU